GAUGAACGCUGGCGGCGUGCUUAACACAUGCAAGUCGAACGAACCUUCGGGUUAGUGGCGGACGGGUGAGUAACGCGUGAGAAUCUGCCCUCAGGAGGGAGAUAACGGCUGGAAACGGCCGCUAAUACCCCAUAUGCCGAGAGGUGAAAUGAAUUUCGCCUGAGGAUGAGCUCGCGUCUGAUUAGCUAGUUGGUGGGGUAAAGGCCUACCAAGGCUUCGAUCAGUAGCUGGUCUGAGAGGAUGAUCAGCCACACUGGGACUGAGACACGGCCCAGACUCCUACGGGAGGCAGCAGUGGGGAAUUUUCCGCAAUGGGCGAAAGCCUGACGGAGCAACGCCGCGUGAGGGAUGAAGGCCUCUGGGCUGUAAACCUCUUUUAUCAAGGAAGAAGAUCUGACGGUACUUGAUGAAUAAGCCACGGCUAAUUCCGUGCCAGCCACCGCCGUAAUAC
rnacentral:rRNA from 1 species